rnacentral:rRNA from 1 species
UACGGAGGGGACUAGCGUUGUUCGGAAUUACUGGGCGUAAAGCGCACGUAGGCAGAUCAGCAAGUUAGGGGUGAAAUCCCGGGGCUCAACCCCGGAGCUGCCUUUAAAACUGCUGGUCUGGAGUCCGAGAGAGGUGAGUGGAAUUCCGAGUGUAGAGGUGAAAUUCGUAGAUAUUCGGAGGAACACCAGUGGCGAAGGCGGCUCACUGGCUCGGUACUGACGCUGAGGUGCGAAAGCGUGGGGAGCAAACAGG